AUUGAACGCUGGCGGCAGGCCUAACACAUGCAAGUCGAACGAGUGGCGGACGGGUGAGUAAUGUCUGGGAAACUGCCCGAUGGAGGGGGAUAACUACUGGAAACGGUCUCUAAUACCGCAUACCCUCGGAUGUGCCCAGAUGGGAUUAUCUAGGAGGUGGGGUAACGGCUCACCUAGGCGACGACCCCUAGCUGGUCUGAGAGGAUGACCAGCCACGCUGGAACUGCGACACGGUCCAGACUCCUACGGGAGGCAGCAGUGGGGAAUAUUGCACAAUGGGCGCAAGCCUGAUGCAGCCAUGCCGCGUGUAUGAAGAAGGCCUUCGGGUUGUAAAGUACUUUCAGCGAGGAGGCGUUACUCGCAGAAGAAGCACCGGCUAACUCCGUGCCAGCAGCCGCGGUAAUUC
rnacentral:rRNA from 1 species